AGUGAACGCUGGCGGUAGGCCUAACACAUGCCAGUCGAACGGCAGCACAGUAAGAGCUUGCUAUUACGGGUGGCGAGUGGCGGACGGGUGAGGAAUACAUCGGAAUCUACUUUUUCGUGGGGGAUAACGUAGGGAAACUUACGCUAAUACAGCAUACGACCUACGGGUGAAAGCAGGGGAACUUCGGACCUUGCGCGCUUGAUUGAGCCGAUGUCGGAUUAGCUAGUUGGCGGGGUAAAGGCCCACCAAGGCAACGAUCCGUAGCUGGUCGGAGGGGAUGGUGAGCCAAACUGGAACUGAGACACGGUCCAGACUCUUACGGGAGGAGCCGUAGGGGAACAUUGGACAAUGGCGGAAAGCUUGCGCCAGACAUACCGGGUGGGGGAAGAAGGCUUUCGGUUUGUAAGGCCCUUUUUUUGGGAAAGAAAAGCAGCAGGUUAAUACCCCGCUGUUCUGACGGUACCCAAAGAAUAAGCACCGGCUAACUUCGUG
rnacentral:rRNA from 1 species